GUAGUCAUAUGCUUGUCUCAAAGAUUAAGCCAUGCAUGUCUAAGUAUAAGCAAUUACAAAGCGAAACUGCGAAUGGCUCAUUAUAUAAGUUAUCGUUUAUUUGAUAGUACCUUACUACAUGGAUAACCGUGGUAAUUCUAGAGCUAAUACAUGCUGAAAAUCCCGACUUCGGAAGGGAUGUAUUUAUUAGAUACAAAACCAAUGCCCUUCGGGGCUCUCUUGGUGAUUCAUGAUAACUUCUCGAAUCGCACGGCCCCGCGCCGGCGAUGGUUCAUUCAAAUUUCUUCCCUAUCAACUUUCGAUGCUACGGUAUUGUCCUAGCAUGGUUGCAACGGGUAACGGGGAAU
rnacentral:rRNA from 2 species